UUUGCUUUUGUUAUCUUGAUACUAAGCCUACUUGAACUUCUCCUAUCGCCAUGGAUAUGUUAGUCACUUGCUGAGCUCUUUAUGCUCACCCCGUUGCUAUAUAAAUUUUUCAGGGUAGCUUGUCACGCACUAAAAAGAUAGAAUUGAGUUGAAGCAGUGAAAGGCUAGAAGAUUUUUGAGCUAAUCUUUGUUGGAUGAUAGAUUUUUGUUGUAUAGUAUACUUUACUUCUGAUGUAAUAUUAAGGAUAUGUUGAUACUUAUGUGUUGUAAAAGUUUAAA
rnacentral:lncRNA from 1 species